CCUACGGGUGGCAGCAGUGGGGAAUAUUGGUCAAUGGGGGGAACCCUGAUCCAGCGACGUCGCGUGAGUGAAGAAGUAUUUCGGUAUGUAAAGCUCUAUCAGCAGGGAAGAAAGAAAUGACGGUACCUGCCUAAGAAGCCCCGGCUAACUACGUGCCAGCAGCCGCGGUAAUACGUAGGGGGCAAGCGUGCUCCGGAUUUACUGGGUGUAAAGGGAGCGUAGGCGGCGAUGCAAGUCUGAAGUGAAAGGCGGGGGGCCAACCCCCGGACUGCUGUGGAAACUGUAGGGCUGGAGGGCAGGAGAGGUAAGUGGAAUUCCUGGUGUAGCGGUGAAAUGCGUAGAUAUUAGGAGGAACACCAGUGGCGAAGGCGGCUUACUGGACUGUAACUGACGUUGAGGCUCGAAAGCGUGGGGAGCAAACAGGAUUAGAUACCCGAGUAGUA
rnacentral:rRNA from 1 species